AACGGCCGUACCAUGCUGAAUAUACCGGUUCUCGUUAGAUCACCGAAGUUAAGCAUCAUUGGGCGCGGUCAGUACUUUAUAAUUUCUAGUGACCACCUGGGAAACUGCGUGCCGUU